rnacentral:rRNA from 1 species
GAUGAACGCUGGCGGCGUGCCUAAUACAUGCAAGUCGAGCGAACAGACGAGGAGCUUGCUCCUCUGACGUUAGCGGCGGACGGGUGAGUAACACGUGGAUAACCUACCUAUAAGACUGGGAUAACUUCGGGAAACCGGAGCUAAUACCGGAUAAUAUAUUGAACCGCAUGGUUCAAUAGUGAUAGGCGGUUUUGCUGUCACUUAUAGAUGGAUCCGCGCCGCAUUAGCUAGUUGGUAAGGUAACGGCUUACCAAGGCAACGAUGCGUAGCCGACCUGAGAGGGUGAUCGGCCACACUGGAACUGGGACACGGUACAGACUCCUACGGGAGGCAGCAGUAGGGAAUCGUCGGCAAUGGGCGAAAGCCUGACGGAGCAACGCCACGUGAGUGAUGAAGGUCUUCGGAUCGUAAAACUCUGUUAUUAGGGAAGAACAAAUGUGUAAGUAACUAUGCACGUCUUGACGGUACCUAAUCAGAAAGCCACGGCUAACUACGUG